UUUUAAUUAUAGUUUGUAACAAUUACAGUUUCAAUCAUUAUUUUUUUAGAAUUAUUUGUAUUAAAAUAAAGUAUACCAUGGCUUAUUUCAAUGAGAGGUUUAUUCAUUAAACUUUAACAUUUUGUGAAUUGGUAACCAGAAAUUUGCAAAAUUUAGGGCAAACAAAUCUGGUUUUAAGAAAUAUCUCAAUGCACCUAUAGUCUCAGCUUGGCUACUUUUGGCCCCAGAUUUUGUGAUUCAUGUUUCAAUUCACUUCAUUUCUGGAUUUUAUCCUGCAAACUGGUUCAUGGAUUACAGGAUAAAAUUUACAAGGAAAGGUUAAAGGAAAUUUACAUGUAUAGCUUGGCGGAAAGACGAGACAGGGGGAUUGUGAUAGAAACAUUUAAAUACAUAAAGGGAAUCAACACAGUAAAGGAGUAGACUAUAUUUAAAAGAAGAAAAACUACCACAACAAGAGGACAUAGUCUUAAAUUAGAGGGGCAAAGGUUUAAAAAUAAUUUCAGGAAGCAUUACUUUACCGAGAUGGUAGUGGACGCACAGAAUAGCCUUCCAGCUAAGGUGGUAGAGGUUAACAUAGUAAAGGAGUUUAAGCAUGUGUGGGAUAGGCAUAAGGCUAUCCUAGCUAUAAGAUAAGGCCAGGGACUAAUGAAAGUAUUUAGAAAAUUGGGCAGACUAGAUGGGCCGAAUGAUUCUUAUCUGCCGUCACAUUCUAUGUUUCUACGUUUCUAUAAGUAAAUUAAUUCCUACAUUUUCUCACAUUACUGCAAUUCUUUUACAAGUAGUUAAAUUGUUAAAGUACUUUAGCUGAAGUCACACAUUGUCUAUAUUAGCCUACAUUUUAUUUAGUCUUCAAUUCAGAAAAAGAUAAAGUUCAACACCCAUGUUUGAAAUAAAAAAUGCCACAUUAUAAUCUAAAUAUAUAUAUAUAUAUA